rnacentral:tRNA from 1 species
AAGGGAGACCUAAUUCAGGUAUGGGACGAAAAAAAAGUAGUCGCUACCAGGAAUCAAUCCCAAAAGGUCGGAGCGAGGCGAAAUUGGCUUUCAAACUAGGUUCUGGGUUCAAACAAGACCUGAAUCAGGAACAAGGGCUAUUAGCUCAGGUGGUUAGAGCGCACCCCUGAUAAGGGUGAGGUCCCUGGUUCGAGUCCAGGAUGGCCCACCUGUACAGGUGGCAAAAAGAAAGAAAAGAAGCGAGGAAUCAGCACCUUAUCUUACUUAUAUAGUAAGAGAGAAUGCUGGCUCUGAGUUCAGAGUCCAGAGGAACCUUGAAAACUGCAUAGAGCUAGGUGAAAAAGCCAAAAAAGAAGACCGCAA